AAUGUAUCCUCCUGCAAACAUUGACAAAUAUGCAUUCAUAAUGACAAGUUGAAAAAUAUGUUUUGGUGUUUCUUUUUAACACAGAGAAAGCCAUGAAAAUAUCAAACAUGACUGAAUUUAAUUAUUAUUGCACACGUAUGGGUAUUUUGGUCAAGGGCCAACAAUACUGGAUGAGUAAGAAAAUAAACAUGUGAGUAAUUCACAAAUUUUUCUAGCCUUAUUCCGUAAAAUCUAUUUUUCUUGUCUUGAUUUAAGCAAAGUUACUAAAUAUGUUACUAUAGUGAAAAGCUUCAGGGGUGCCUGGCUGGUUCAGUCAUUAGAGCAUGUGACUCUUAAUCUCAGGGUCAUGAGUUCUAGACCCAGGUUGGGUGUAGAGAUUGCUAAAAAAAAAAAAAAAAGUUUCAUAUCACUCGCGUUCUACUGGCAGUAAUGCCCUGCUAGCCUCUCUGCAGUUGUUUUCUUGUUAGUUUUUUUAACAUUACUAUUUGGUGAAAGUUUGAUCUGUUGAUAAAGUAGGAAAUAGAAUUGAACAUAAAAAUUUUAGUGUUUUUAAUGUUUAUUUAUUUAAAAACAUUUUUAAUGUUUAUUUCUUUUUGAGAGAGACAGAGGGUGGGGGGGUGAGGAGCAGAGAGAGAGAGAGAGACAGAGCGAGACUGCGCAUGAGAGAGAGAGAGAGAGAGCAUGAGCGGGGGAGGGACAGAGACAGAGAGAGGGAGACACAGAAUCCAAAGCAGGCUCUAGGCUCUGAGCUGUCAGCACAGAGCACAACGCAGGGCUCGAACUCAGGAACUGUGAAAUCAUGACCUGAGCCAAAGUCAGACACUUAACCCACUGAGCCACCCAGGCACCCCUCAAGCAUUUAUUUAUUUUUUUAUUUUUUUCAACUUUAUUUAUUUUUUUUAAUUUUUCUUUUUAACGUUUAUUUAUUUUUGAGACAGAGAGAGACAGAGCAUGAACGGGGGAGGGUCAGAGAGAGAGGGAGACACAGAAUCUGAAACAGGCUCCAGGCUCUGAGAGGUCAGCACAGAGCCCGACGCGGGGCUCAAACUCAUGGACCGGGAGAUCAUGACCUGAGCCGAAGUCGGACGCUUAACCAACUGAGCCACCCAGGCGCCCCUCAACUUUAUUUAUUUUAAGCAAUCUCUACAUCCAAUGUGGGGCUUGAACCCAGGUGCCCCCAACAUAAAAAUCUUAAAGCAACACUUAAAUUUAGAGAUGAACUAUUGCAUUUAUUUUUAAGAAUGUUUAUUUAUUUAUUUUCGAGAGUGAGCAAGCAGGGGAGGGGCAGAGAGAGAGGGAGAGAGAGAAUCCCUAGCAGGCUCUGUGCUGUCAGCACAGAGCUUGAUGGGGGACUCCAAUCCACGAACCAUGAGAUCAUGAGCUGAGCUGAAGUCAGAUGCUUAACCCACUGAGCCACCGGUGCCCCAAGGUGAUUUUGAUAUCGGGACCCCUUUGAAGAGCAGGGAUCCCUCUAGUCAGUUCUAAGGGUGGCACAGAGCUGUGGCCAGGAAGGUGUUGUGUCACACUGAACACACCCAAUGGUGGGAACCUACCCUUCUGUAUGUGAGGAGGGUAAUUCCCGGAAAAGGUGGAGGUUGAGAGCUGGGCAGAUACCCAGAAAAGUAUUACACCCAUCAUCCCUAAUAUCAUCACAGCAUCGUAACUAACACCUUAAUAUUGUCACAGGUUUAUAAUCGUCACCUUCUUCACAGUCAUUGCCAGCUUCUCCAUCGUUUCCAGCACCAUGAACCUCUGUGGUUUUGGUCACUCAGCAAUUACCCUCACCCUACCCUGACCUUGGCCACCUGUGCUCUCAGAAUGGAGAAACUUGACUCAGGGUGGGUUGCUUGACCUAGGCUUGGGUCAAAAAGCCUAUCACAUUUCUCUGGCCCCAGUUCUUCAUUUAAAGAUGGGUAUGUAACUCAAUUACAGCCAAGGGGAAUUUUGCCGAGACUGUUGAGACAAAUCUCUCUCCUCUUUGCUGUGCAAGAACCUGGGAAGACAGAGCCCAGAGAGUCCAGCCUGCCCGAAGACUGCGUCAGCAGAGAGGAAGCAGUAUUGAGAGUCAGAGACAGUGAAAAUGGACCUUGAUGAGUGGGGCCUUUGUAUCUAAUCAUGUUUGAAGCAAACCUCUACGUGGUCUUCACAGUUGGGGAAGCCAAUACCUUUGCCUUUGGCUUAACCCUGCUGGGUUGAUUUUUCAGUCACCUACGUCCAAAAUAAACUGGAAGGAAACAUCAUUCUCUCCAAAACCAGGGUCAUCAUCAGAGUGCCUGCAGCAUUGAACAUGAGAAGCCUUCGUUAGCUUACCAUUCUAACCCAUCUCCGCACUAAUUUCUCAGGAAUGUUGAACAAAUGCUUCCAGGUUUGUUGUGAAGCAGACUCAAGAGAACAGAAGUUCUCAUUAAGGAGUCAGGAGACCAAAGUUCUGGUCCUGACUUUGACAUGAACUCACUCUUGGUCUGGAGCAAGUUGCUCUCUCUUGAGCGUCAGAUUCAGAUCUAUUAAAAGGAGGAAAGUGGAUUAUAUCAGUGGCUCCCCAGUGCUAUUCCUUGGUGGAUUCCAGUCGGCUACAUAAAAUUUACCUGGGGAGCUUGCUAACAAGACAGAUGCCAGACCUCUGUCCUUGGAGAACCUAAUUUAAUAGAUCUGGUGGGGAGUCAAGAUGGAAAGACUAGGGGCGCCUGGGUGGCUCAGUCAGUUAAGCAUCCGACUUUGGCUCCGGUCACGAUCUCACAGUUCGUGGGUUCAAGCCCCGCAUUCGGGCUCUUUGCUGUCAGCAUGGAGCCUGCUUUGGAUCCUCUGUCCACUCUCUCUCUGCCCCUCCCCUG
rnacentral:lncRNA from 1 species